GCUAAGAUCCGAGCAGUCGGCGUAAUUUGACAUACAAAAGUUUUUCUAAAACAACUUCUUUAAUUUGUAUCCGAUCACAAAAAAUUUCUCAGGAAUCUAGCUUCAAAAUUUCGCUUGUUAUUCGAUUCUUGCUGAUCUGCGAAACCGUGGAAAAAGGUCUCUGAAAUCUAAGUUUUCAUACGGACUGAUAAAUACCCCUCUAACCUAUAGAUAGCGGGUAUAAACAUGUGCCACGCAUUUGAUUUUUAGCAAAGGAAAGUGUGUCAGUGUGUGUGUGGGCGAAAAGGGAAAAAUAAAUUUAUUUGCGUGUCAGGCUAAAAUGCGAAGCAUGGAAACAAUAAAAUGCCAAACAAGCAGAAUGAGUGGCAGCCAAAGAAGAGAAAUGGGAAAGGGAAAGGAACAGAGAGAAAGAGAGACAGCACUGUGUUCUGUUGUCCUAAGCAGCUGCAAUUAGUGUGGAGUGUUAUUUCUCCUGUUGAGGGUCUAAAAAGGCAUCGGAUAAGCUAAUAACUUAUGUAAAUGCUGCUGCUGUUGCUCUUGAAAAGAAAGAGAGCGCUGAACGCAGGCAAACACUUUAAGUACUUUAUGCCGUGAUUAAAAACGCAAUCAAACACAAACAAAUUACAUUAAGGAUUUAUUAAAGUGUUGCCCAAACAAAUUAAACGGCAGCGUAUCAAAUUUCAUCGUGCCAUUAAAUCC